UCCAAUUUGUAUUUAAAGGCAGCAUGUUGAUAAAAGAAGUAUCAGAAAAUUUCAAAAGUUAUUUGAGUACUUUAACUCAGAGAUUUAAGGUUCUCUCUAAGGAGCCUACACCAUUACAAGCAUAGGUCGAAAAAAAGAAAUUCUCGUUCCAUUCUUCAAUCUCCUGUCCCGAAUCACCAGUCCAUAGACCCAUAACACGAUCUGUCUCAAGGGACCCUAACAUUUUGUUAUCAGAGCCAGGUUUUAUGGGGGACUCAAUCCAACAGCAGCUUGAUCGUAUAUUGGCCCUGUUCUUAGAAGAGCAAGCUGUCAACAAGGCUCGCCAGGAAGAAUUGAACUCCAAAUUGGAGGCACUUACCCGAGACAUUGCCCAAUCUUCCCAAGCACACACCAAUGAAGGUAGCAGCCAUACUCGAGCACAAAGAGGGAAGGUAACAACAACUUUGGCUGGUUCAGAAAAUUCUGGGGCUAGUUCUGUCAUCCCAAAAUUCACCAAAUUAGAUUUUCCACGCUUUAAUGGACAAGAUGACCCCUUGGGUUGGCUCAGCCGCUGCGAGCACUUCUUUCGCCAUCAGCAAACUUUAGAAGAGGAGAAGGUUAGUUUGGCUUCCUUUCACCUUGAAGGCAUAGCUCAAUUAUGGUUCUUACAACUGAUGAAUGAUGCCCCUAAUCAGACAUGGGAGGAAUUCAAGCAUCAAUGUAUUCUUCGCUUUGGUCCACCUAUUCGCAGUAAUAAAUUGGGUGAAUUAGCCAAAUUAAAACAAGCAAGUUCUGUUGCAGACUAUCAAACAAAGUUUGAAAUUCAGGUCUCACGGGCUGGAACUCUAACACAGGACCAGAAGAUUCAACUUUAUCUCAGUGGAUUGCAAGAAUACAUUGCUGUGGAAGUGGAGUUGCACCAACCAUCAGACUUGGUGACUGCCAUAAGUAUGUCCAGGUUGUAUGAAAGAAAGGCCUUGUCAUCUCGUUUCUCUGCAUCUUCAAUGCCUCAUCCAACACAGCUACCCAUUGAAACAAAAAAUGCCAGGAUAAUCAAAAGGCUAACCCGCGACGAGAUGGAGGACCGUCAGCGGAAGGGACUCUGUUUUAAUUGUGACGAACCCUUCAACCGUGGGCACCACUGCAAAAAAUUAUUUUGGAUGGAUCUUAAAGAUGAUGAGGACGCCAUGGAAGCAUCUAAUGAGAUACAACAUGCAGCACAAUCUCUAGAAAUUUCGUUAAAUGCUAUCACGGGCAUUCGAAAUCCUCAAACUAUGCGUUUGGAAGGGAAGUGGAACGGGAAACAAGUCCUUGUUUUGAUUGAUUCAGGAAGCACUCAUAGUUUUGUGGCUGCUAAACUUGUGACACAAGCUGAUGCUCAAAUUGAUGAGAAAGAUGGUCUACGUGUUAAGGUAGCUAACUGUGAACAACUAUGCAGCCCAGGAAUAUGUCGUGGAGUUUCACUCAAAUUGGGAUCUCAUCCUAUCAAAACUGAUCUGUUUGUUCUCCCUUUAAGCAGCAUUGGCGUGGUUUUGGGAGUUAAUUGGCUACGCACAUUGGGACCCAUUUUGUGGGACUUCUCACGUAUGAAAAUGACAUUUUCCAAGCAAGGCAAUAAGAUAGAGUUACAAGGGCUUCAGAACUCCAUAACUAACCCAUCAGCUGGAUUUAAUAUCAUUCAGAGUCCUCCAGAUAAUGAGAUUUAGUUGCAAAAGUUGUUGACAGAAUUCUCCUCCUUAUUUGAAGAACCAACAACGCUUCCUCCUAGCAGAGCUUGUGACCACCGAAUUCCUUUAGAAUAAGGCGCCAGACCGGUGGUGAUUCGUCCCUACAGAUAUCCAGAUGCUCAAAAGGAUGAAAUUGAAAAGCAAUGCGCUGCAAUGUUGCAAUAAGGCAUUAUCAGACCCAGUCACUCUCAAUUCUCUUCUCAAGUCAUCCUUGUUCCUAAGUCCGAUGGUUCUUGGCGCCUAUGUGUGGAUUACCGUGAACCUAAUGCCAAAACAGUGAGGGAAAAGUUUCCAAUACUUGUAAUUGAUGAACUAUUGGAAGAACUUGGAGGAGCAAAUUUCUUCACAAAGCUGGAUUUGCGUUCGGGCUAUCACCAAGUUUGAAUGUUUUCACCUGACAUUAAGAAGACUGCCUUCCGUACACACCAUGGCCACUUCGAAUUUUUAAUCAUGCCUUUUGGACUUACUAACGCCCCUUCUACAUUUCAAGCGUUGAUGAACGAGGUAUUCCGACCCUAUUUAAGAAAGUUCGUUUUGGUGUUCUUUGACGAUAUUCUUAUCUAUAGUAGGACUUCGGCGGAGCAUAUGUAUCAUCUGCGAUUGGUUUUCCAACUUCUCUCCACCAACAAGUUGUUCCUCAAGCAAUCCAAGUGCUCUUUCGCACAAUCUCAAAUCGUAUACUUGGGUCAUAUCAUUACACAAGAUGGAGUAAAGGCAGAUCAAUAAAAAAUUUCAGCUAUGCUCGAAUGGCCUCGCCCAACAACAAUACGAGGACUACGAGGAUUUUUGGGACUCACUGGUUACUACCGUAAAUUUGUUCAAAAUUAUGGAGUUAUUGCUACCCCUCUCACUGCAUUGUUGCACAAAAAUUCCUUCUAGUGGACAGACCAGGUAGUUUAGGCCUUUUAUACACUUAAAACCAUGAUGACAAACACUCCAAUUUUGGCCCUUCCAGACUUUGAUCAACCUUUUGUGGUGGAGUGUCACACAUCUGAUUCUGGAAUGGGAGCAGUCCUCUUGCAAAACAAUUGACCUUUAGCUUACUUCAGUCAUGUUAUGGCAAUGAGGCAUCACAAUCUUCUAGCAUAUGAGAAAGAACUAUUUGGGUUGGUUAAAGCAGUCAGACAUUGGCAUUCUUACUUAUGGGGACGCAAGUUCGUAGUCCGGACAGACCAUUACAGCUUGAAAUUUCUCUUGGAACAAAAGGUAUUGACUCCCUCUCAAUAACAUUGGUAUAACAAGUUAUUGGGUUUCUCUUUCACAGUUGAGUACAGGGCUGGACGCUUAAACACAGUGGCAGAUGCUCUCUCACGGCAGGAUGCUGAUGCAGCAGUAUUAAUGGCCAUCUCUAUGCCACAACUGAGCAUAUUUGAUGAACUCCGAACGGAACAGCAGGAUUCUACGGAAAUCCAGCACCAUAUUUCACUCAUUCAUGCCAACAAGGCAGCUGAUACUUGGAGUUUCAAACAAGGACUUCUCUUCUACAAAAAAAGAGUUUACGUUCCUACCAAUUCUCCUUCUAUUCAAACCAUUAUGACAGCACUUCACAAUCAAGGCCAUAAGGGAUACCAGAAAACCUUAUUUCGAAUUACAAGAGAUUUUUAUUGGCCGGGAAUGAAAGCUCAAAUCAAAGAAUUUGUUCGAGCAUGUGGAAUCUGUCAAAGGCACAAAACUGAGACCCUUCAACCAACAGGUCUCCUUCAGCCGCUUCCUGUUUCUACUCAAACAUGGGCUGACAUUUUCUUAGGUUUUGUCGAAGGGUUGCCAGUGU
rnacentral:misc_RNA from 1 species